CCUACGGGGGGCAGCAGUAGGGAAUAUUGGACAAUGGGCGAAAGCCUGAUCCAGCCAUGCCGCGUGAGUGAUGAAGGCCCUAGGGUUGUAAAGCUCUUUCGGCGGGGACGAUAAUGACGGUACCCGCAGAAGAAGCCCCGGCUAACUUCGUGCCAGCAGCCGCGGUAAUACGAAGGGGGCUAGCGUUGUUCGGAAUCACUGGGCGUAAAGCGCGCGUAGGCGGAUUGUUAAGUCAGGGGUGAAAUGCCGAGGCUCAACCUCGGAACUGCCUUUGAUACUGGCGAUCUUGAGUCCGGGAGAGGUGAGUGGAACUCCUAGUGUAGAGGUGAAAUUCGUAGAUAUUAGGAAGAACACCAGUGGCGAAGGCGGCUCACUGGCCCGGAACUGACGCUGAUGUGCGAAAGCGUGGGGAGCAAACAGGAUUAGAUACCCCUGUAGUC
rnacentral:rRNA from 1 species